UACGUAGGUGGCAAGCGUUGUCCGGAAUUAUUGGGCGUAAAGCGCGCGCAGGCGGUCCUUUUAAGUCUGAUGUGAAAGCCCACGGCUCAACCGUGGAGGGUCAUUGGAAACUGGAGGACUUGAGUACAGAAGAGGAAAGCGGAAUUCCACGUGUAGCGGUGAAAUGCGUAGAGAUGUGGAGGAACACCAGUGGCGAAGGCGGCUUUCUGGUCUGUAACUGACGCUGAGGCGCGAAAAGCGUGGGGGAGCAAACAGG
rnacentral:rRNA from 1 species